GAAAAGGAGGAAAGUGUAAAUCAAGGUGACAAAGAGGAAAGAGGAGUCACCAUUGAUCAACUCAUAGAAAAAACUCUCAUUGGAAGAGAAUAAAGGAGAAAAUCCUAAAUGAACCGAACCCACCUUUACCAGAUUACACACCAUAUCCCAUCAUUAAAAAGAAACUGGUACAUGAGGAUGAGGCUGAAAUGUUUGAAAAUUUUAAAGAAGUGUUGAGAUAAC
rnacentral:lncRNA from 1 species